ensembl:misc_RNA Y_RNA Y RNA
GGCUGGUCCAAAGGUAAUGAUUUAUCUCAAUUGAUUGUUCACAAUUAGCUACAGAUUAAAAUCCUUGUUCUACUUUUCCUCCUUCUCACUGCUACACUUGAGUAGUCUUCA